AAACUGGGGACUCACCAGGUGCAGAGCCAGUGGCAGCAAGAGCAGGAACAGCCACAGGUAGAGGUGGCAGCUAUUGGUGAAUUUGCUAUGCUCCGGGUCGUGGUACCAGCCCCCUGUGAGAGCGGCCCACACACCCUGCCUGAGCAGCUGCAGCACCUGGGACGCCAUGCCCGCAGAGUCCGGCAGAAACCGAGCGUGCCCUGGGGCUCAGCACCCUAAGCUCAGCACCCUGGAGCUCAGUACGUCGGCGCGUGCCGGUGUGCUCCAGGCGCGGUCCCACCCCCGCCGCCACCGCCCAAACCGCGGUAGACGCUGAACAGUACGGACCGGCACAGCGCGGUGCUGGAGCCGGCUGGGGCUGCCAGGCAGGUGCGCGCCAUGUCCAAGGGAAGGAGGAUUUUCCCAUCAUGCUCUGCGAUGGCUGCUCAAGGAUGCUCCGGCGGCUCCGCCCUGCGCCCACACAAGUCUGCGAAGGAGCUCAGUCCCUCCCUCUCCUUGGUGGCUGGAGCUCCACCUGCCUUUUCUCCUGAAUCUCCCAAGAGUAAGUUUGCAAGGUGUGAGAACCAAGAAUGUUCCCGUGUGAGGACCACAGACAGGAAACUUCUUGGCUUUUGUUUUUGUUUUGUCUCCUGCCCCAAAAGGUUUGUAUAAUCUGGAGGCCUAGGCUUGCGGUACUCAAAGCGAUGUCCUCUGAGCUCCACCUGCGGGGCUUUGAUCCCUGUGACCUUGGUUGGCUACAGACUAGAGGCUCUAAAGUUUCAUGUGCGACAUGGUCUGCUCCCACUGACCUCUUUCCACCCUGACUUUUCUCCUCCACCCCCGAUUACCUAAUUGGACGCACAGAAAUGAUAACCGCCGUUCUGAAAUAAUCGUUGGAGCCUCAGUUAACCACACAUUUUUACCUUACAUUGUUUUAUCUUACUGAUAAGGCACGGUCUCACUCUGUAGACUGAAUUGGCUUGGAAGGGAUUAUGUAGCUCGGGCUGGCCUGAAAAUUCAUGGCAAUUCUCUAUAGAGUAUUGAGAUUAUGAGCAUAAGCAACUACAUCCAGCUUUCUUUCUUCUUAUAUAUUUCCUGAACAUAAUCUGGGAUAGCAAUCUACCAUUUCAACCAGGAGGAGAGGGGGGCGGGGAAGGGCGGGGGAAGAAGGGAGGAGAGAAAAAAAAGAGAAGAACAGAUUUUGAUUGCGGCGCUAGGUGGCGCUAGAUCGCUGCUAGAACAGAGUAAAGCCCAUUCUUGAUAUUGCCAAACCAGCAAUGAAUCCUAACCCUGAUUAAUAAGCAGGGAUAAUCCAAUACAGCAGAAAGCUUGUUC
rnacentral:lncRNA from 1 species